GAACGCUGGCGGCGUGCUUAACACAUGCAAGUCUACGAGAAAGUGGUAGCAAUACUAUUAGUAAAGUGGCGCACGGGUGAGUAACACGUAAGCAAUCAACCCUUAGAUCUGGAAUAACUCCGCGAAAGCGGGACUAAUACCGGAUGAUGCAGCGGCAUCACAUGAUGAUGUUGUUAAAGUCUAUAUGACGUCUAGGGACGAGCUUGCGUCUGAUUAGCUAGUUGGUGAGGUAACGGCCCACCAAGGCUACGAUCAGUAGCUGGUCUGAGAGGAUGAUCAGCCACAUUGGAACUGAGACACGGUCCAGACUCCUACGGGAGGCAGCAGUGAGGAAUAUUGGGCAAUGCCCGCAAGGGUGACCCAGCAACGCCGCGUGAAGGAUGAAUGCCGUAAGGUUGUAAACUUCUGUUAGAGGGGACGAAUAGCUUCGAUCAAAUCGAAGUUUGACGGUACCCUCAGAGAAAGCCCCGGCUAACUACGUGCCAGCAGCCGCGGUAAUUCAAGGGCGANUUCCACAGUGGAU
rnacentral:rRNA from 1 species